CCCGGGCCUUGUACACACCGCCCGUCACACCAUGAGAGUUGGUUGUACCCGAAGUUGUUGGACCAACCCGUAAGGGGGGUAGGCACCGAAGGUAUGGCUGAUGAUUGGGGUGAAGUCGUAACAAGGUAGCCGUUGGGGAACCAGCGGCUGGAUCACCUCCUUU
rnacentral:rRNA from 1 species